CGAUAAAUCGACCGCCUGGGGAGUACGGCCGCAAGGUUAAAACUCAAAUGAAUUGACGGGGGCCCGCACAAGCGGUGGAGCAUGUGGUUUAAUUCGAUGCAACGCGAAGAACCUUACUUGGUCUUGACAUCCAUAGAAUUCUGCAGAGAUGUGGGAGUGCCUUCGGGAACUAUGAGACAGGUGCUGCAUGGCUGUCGUCAGCUCGUGUUGUGAAAUGUUGGGUUAAGUCCCGUAACGAGCGCAACCCUUAUUCUUUGUUGCCAGCGAUUUGGUCGGGAACUCAAAGGAGACUGCCGUUGAUAAAGCGGAGGAAGGUGGGGAUGACGUCAAGUCAUCAUGGCCCUUACGACCAGGGCUACACACGUGCUACAAUGGCGUAUACAAAGGGAAGCGAAGGUGCGAGCUGGAGCGGAUCUCAUAAAGUACGUCUAAGUUCGGAUUGGAGUCUGCAACUCGACUCCAUGAAGUCGGAAUCGCUAGUAAUCGUAGAUCAGAAUGCUACGGUGAAUACGUUCCCGGGCCUUGUACACACCGCCCGUCACACCAUGGGAGUGGGUUGCACCAGAAGUAGAUAGCUUAACCGCGAGGGGGGCGUUUACCACGGUGUGAUUCAUGACUGGGGUGAAGUCGUAACAAGGUAACCA
rnacentral:rRNA from 1 species